rnacentral:rRNA from 1 species
CAGGCCUUCGGGCGCUGACGAGUGGCGAACGGGUGAGUAAUGCAUCGGAACGUGCCCAGUCGUGGGGGAUAACGCAGCGAAAGCUGUGCUAAUACCGCAUACGAUCUGUGGAUGAAAGCGGGGGACCUUCGGGCCUCGCGCGAUUGGAGCGGCCGAUGUCAGAUUAGGUAGUUGGUGGGGUAAAGGCUCACCAAGCCAACGAUCUGUAGCUGGUCUGAGAGGACGACCAGCCACACUGGGACUGAGACACGGUCCAGACUCCUACGGGAGGCAGCAGUGGGGAAUUUUGGACAAUGGGCGCAAGCCUGAUCCAGCAAUGCCGCGUGCAGGAAGAAGGCCUUCGGGUUGUAAACUGCUUUUGUACGGAACGAAACGGUCCUGGUUAAUACCUGGGGCUAAUGACGGUACCGUAAGAAUAAGCACCGGCUAACUACGUGCCAGCAGCCGCGGUAAUACGUAGGGUGCGAGCGUUAAUCGGAAUUACUGGGCGUAAAGCGUGCGCAGGCGGUGCUGUAAGACAGGCGUGAAAUCCCCGGGCUCAACCUGGGAAUUGCGCUUGUGACUGCAGU